GUGCUGAAUUGGUGCUCUGCAUCACCCUGUCAAUGGAGGAGAUGGACCCAGAAGGGGAGUUGCCGGGACCUCCAUCUGCUGUGUACCCUGAGGACCUGUGGAUUCCAGAGAUACCAAACCCCAGGGAAGUAAGAAGUAGCCUGGGGCAGCCGAUGACUGUCUGGCUAUGUGGCUGACUGCUUCUAGGUUUCCAAUUUUGGACAGAACUGAAGAUCUGUGGCAGUGUUGCAAAAUGUACUGGAAGAAAUGGCUCAAUGUAUUCAGUACAUGCUGGAUCUGAAGGUGGACACAUCUGAGUGUUUUAUCAAGAGUUUUGAUGAGUUUACUUAGAGGCACUAUUUAGAAUGGCCAGUAAACACAAAUUAACAAUAGUUUUGCAUUAAUUUAAGGUGGAAGGGCCAUUCUCUCCAUCUGGACCUUUCUUCAGCAUUAGCUUUAAAAUAGUUAACUGAAUCUGUUGUGAUUCAUUUGUUCAUUAGAAACUGAAGGGUACUUAAGAUAGCAUAAGGUGGAAGUAAAUCUAAUUCUUUAGACUGAUCAAAAUGCAGAAGUUACAGAGGCAGAACACAGUCCUCUUUACUCCAAUGGAACUGAGAUGAGUAACACUAUUUAAUCCUGUAUUCUUGAGUUUACAUGGGCACAGUUACAAGUACAUACACAAGUUACUAAUUUCCAUGAAAUGUGAUUCCUGCUUUAAAAAAAAAAUUUAAACUUGUGAUGUAAAGAGAAUUCUUUAGUUACAAGAAUUAGCCAGAAAAUCCAUUAACAAAAGUUUUUUAAACAUUUUGUUCUAUUAUUGCUCUUCUGAGUAUUUAUCCACAUAUACAAUGUUUGUUUUGCUCAAGCAUAAGUUAAAGUACAGCUACAACUAAGAAUAUUAGCUUGGAAAAGUUUCAGCAAUGACAAGUUACAUACGUUAAGAACUCAGCGGUAUGUUUGAAAUUAAAUAUCAAUAAAGGAUUAUUACUUUAAAAAGUA